AUUGAACGCUGGCGGCAGGCCUAACACAUGCAAGUCGAGCGAGCGGCGGACGGGUGAGUAAUGUAUGGGGACUGCCCGAUAGAGGGGGAUAACUACUGGAAACGGUAGCUAAUACCGCAUACUAUCGGAUAACCCAGAUGGGAUUAGCUAGUAGGUGGGGUAAUGGCUCACCUAGGCGACGAUCCCUAGCUGGUCUGAGAGGAUGACCAGCCACACGGGGACUGAGACACGGCCCAGACUCCUACGGAGGCAGCAGUGGGGAAUAUGGCACAAUGGGCGCAAGCCUGAUGCAGCCAUGCCGCGUGUAUGAAGAAGGCCUUCGGGUUGUAAAGUACUUUCAGUGGGGAGGCGUUACCGGCAGAAGAAGCACCGGCUAACUCCGUGCCAGCAGCCGCGGUAAUUC
rnacentral:rRNA from 1 species